rnacentral:lncRNA from 1 species
AAAAAACUCACACAAAACCCUUACCACAAAGAAGAUACGCACAAAACUAUUACCACCAAGAAGACACACACAAAGCCCUACCAUGUAUUCUAUACGAUACAUGAUAUCUAUAUGUAAUCUAUAAAAGGUUGGUGUUGUAUAAGUUAUCAUUUUACCCAUUGCUUAUAUUGCUUACAUUUUAGUUUUUACUUUUUGAUUCUCC